GAUGAACGCUGGCGGCGUGCCUAAUACAUGCAAGUCGAGCGAACAGAUGAGGAGCUUGCUCCUCUGACGUUAGCGGCGGACGGGUGAGUAACACGUGGAUAACCUACCUAUAAGACUGGGAUAACUUCGGGAAACCGGAGCUAAUACCGGAUAAUAUAUUGAACCGCAUGGUUCAAUAGUGAAAGACGGUUUUGCUGUCACUUAUAGAUGGAUCCGCGCCGCAUUAGCUCGUUGGUAAGGUAACGGCUUACCAAGGCAACGAUGCGUAGCCGACCUGAGAGGGUGAUCGGCCACACUGGAACUGAGACACGGUCCAGACUCCUACGGGAGGCAGCAGUAGGGAAUCUUCCGCAAUGGGCGAAAGCCUGACGGAGCAACGCCGCGUGAGUGAUGAAGGUCUUCGGAUCGUAAAACUCUGUUAUUAGGGAAGAACAAAUGUGUAAGUAACUAUGCACGUCUUGACGGUACCUAAUCAGAAAGCCACGGCUAACUACGUG
rnacentral:rRNA from 1 species